rnacentral:miRNA from 1 species
GUGUGUGUGUGUGUGUGUGUGUGUGCGCGCACGCGCACGCGCACGCACACGCACACGCG